UACGUAGGGUGCAAGCGUUGUCCGGAAUUAUUGGGCGUAAAGAGCUCGUAGGCGGUUUGUCGCGUCUGCUGUGAAAACUCGGGGCUUAACCCCGGGCCUGCAGUGGGUACGGGCAGACUAGAGUGCGGUAGGGGAGACUGGAAUUCCUGGUGUAGCGGUGAAAUGCGUAGAGAUCAUGAGGAAGACCAGUGGCGAAGGCGGGUCUCUGGACAGUUCCUGACACUGAGGCACGAAGGCCAGGGGAGCAAACGGG
rnacentral:rRNA from 1 species